AACCCAGUGUGACUCGUCACACUAUCAUUAACUGAAUCCAUAGGUUAAUGAGGCGAACCGGGGGAACUGAAACAUCUAAGUACCCCGAGGAAAAGAAAUCAACCGAGAUUCCCCCAGUAGCGGCGAGCGAACGGGGAGGAGCCCAGAGCCUGAAUCAGCAUGUGUGUUAGUGGAAGCGUCUGGAAAGGCGCGCGAUACAGGGUGACAGCCCCGUACACAAAAGCGCAUGUGCUGUGAGCUCGAUGAGUAGGGCGGGACACGUGGUAUCCUGUCUGAAUAUGGGGGGACCAUCCUCCAAGGCUAAAUACUCCUGACUGACCGAUAGUGAACCAGUACCGUGAGGGAAAGGCGAAAAGAACCCCGGCGAGGGGAGUGAAAAAGAACCUGAAACCGUGUACGUACAAGCAGUGGGAGCACCCUUUGGGUGUGACUG
rnacentral:rRNA from 1 species